rnacentral:ncRNA from 1 species
AUAGUAUUGUGACAGUAAUCCAACUUGGUACGAGAGGAUUAGUUGGUUCAGACAAUUGGUACAGCAAUUGGUUGACAAACCAGUGUUGCGAAGCUAAGUCUGUUGGAUAAUGGCUGAACGCCUCUUAAGCCAGAAACCAUGCUGAUUAAACAAUACUAUUUCGUUCUUUUUUGUUUCCUUUUUUACUGCUAAUGUAAAAGAGAAAUUAUAUAUGUGCCUUUUUUUGGUACAUAAAUAAUCCUAUCACCUUUUUCGUGAGCUGUGAGCUGUGUGAGCUAGGCAAUAGUUCUUUAACAACAAAAAAGAAUUGCACAAACUGUAGACGACUUUUUUGCCUCAGGGUGCUGUAAACAUGAAAGUAAACUUUGUUUUACGAUCUGUUGAGGCUUAUCCCUAGUGGUAAAGUGU